rnacentral:rRNA from 1 species
GAUGAACGCUGGCGGCGUGCCUAACACAUGCAAGUCGAACGAGGUAUUUUGAUUGAAGUUUUCGGAUGGAUUUCAAGAUGCCGAGUGGCGGACGGGUGAGUAACGCGUGGGUAACCUGCCUCAUACAGGGGGAUAACGGUUAGAAAUGACUGCUAAUACCGCAUAAGCGCACAGUACCGCAUGGUACGGUGUGAAAACUCCGGUGUAUGAGAUGGACCCGCGUCUGAUUAGGUAGUUGGUGGGGUAACGGCCUACCAAGCCGGCGAUCAGUAGCCGACCUGAGAGGGUGACCGGCCACAUUGGGACUGAGACACGGCCCAA